rnacentral:lncRNA from 10 species
GAGGAAAUGGAGGCAGAUGUGGGACAGGGGUGAGAAACUGCCAGGAUUUCCUCGCUGAGCCUGGCUGGUAGGUAUAGUUGUUUUCUUUCUUUUUCUUUAUUUUAUUUUCAUUUAUUUACUUAUUUUUAUUUUUUAUUUGUUUUGAGACGGAGUUUCGCUCUUGUUGCCCAGGCUGGAGUACAAUGGCGCCAUCUCGGCUCACUGCAACCUCCGCCUCCCCGGUUCAAGCGAUUCUCUUGCCUCAGCUUCCCUAGUAGCUGGGAUUACAGGCAUGCGCCCCCAUGCCUGGCUAAUUUAUUUGUAUUUUUAGUAGAGACGGGACUUCUCCAUGUUGGUCAGGCUGGUCUCGAACUCCCAACCUUAGGAUCCACCCACCCCGGCCUCCCAAAGUGCUGGGAUUACAGGUGUGAGCCACUGCGCCCGGCCAGUAGGUAUAGUCUUCUAGAUGUGAAACCUGAGUCUCAGAGCGGUGAAGUUCCCUUCCGAAGGGCAGCCCAUGUUGGAGCUGGGUUCAGU